UGAAUCAAACAUGGCCGAUGUUAUCCUCGCGCGUUUAGAAGUGUUCCAUGUGUUUCCAAGAAAACAACAGUUUCAGGCGAAAUUAUUUCGAAUUUCUCCUGGCCUGACUCGAUAAGCAGCAGAUCUCUGAUGGACCGAUAAUGGUCGAUCUUCUAAGGGGAGAGGUAGUUUAAUCAUCAUUAUUGAAACUCCUAAUGGUUUGUAUUGUCCACCGUUCAAUUUAUCAUGUGCACGUCCUAAUGGAUGAAUUAUAUAAAAGGAACAAGUAUGUUACUUUUGCUGUUAGUUAAAAAUGAAAUCGUAUAAUGUGAAAAGUUUCUGUCUUAUUUGAAAUAAAUAUUAGUAAAUGAG